rnacentral:rRNA from 1 species
CAGUCGCCGCGGGAAAACCAGCACCUCGAGUGGUCAGGAGGUUUAUUGGGCCUAAAGCAUCCGUAGCCGGUUGCAUAAGUUUUCGGUUAAAUCUAUGCGCUUAACGUAUAGGCCGCCGAAAAUACUGUGCAGCUAGGGAGUGGGAGAGGUACACGGUACUCGAUAGGAAGGGGUAAAAUCCUUUGAUCUAUUGAUGACCACCUGUGGCGAAGGCGGUGUACCAGAACACGUUCGACGGUGAGGGAUGAAAGCUGGGGGAGCAAACCGGAUUAGAUACCCGAGUAGUCCCUGUCUCUUAUUC